rnacentral:lncRNA from 1 species
UAUAUAUAGAGAUAUAUAGGGGUAAUUGCUUAUAUACCCCUGAAAAGUUCCCGACUUUUCAAUUUACCCCUCUUAGAAGGUUAAUAUUGAAAAUACCCUUUCUACGUUCCAACCUAUUUCUAAUAUACCCCUAGAGUUAAAAUCUGUUAAUUAACUCUGUUAUCUUUGUAAAAUUACUAUUUUAACCUUUCAAAUAUACCCUUCCACAAUCACUGACUUUCUUAUUUGCCCUUAAAGUUAGGGACACAAAAAGUAUUUUGACUUUUGGUCUUUUCCAAUAUACCCCUUUGCCAUCACCAAUAUUUCUUAUUUGCCCUUAAGCUAAGGGCAAAAUUGGCAUUUUAAUUUUUUUAAACUCUGGUAAAUGUUUAAUUCACGUUUAAUCCAAGUUAACUUAACAGGAGAUAAAUGCGAGGGUAUUUUGAAAUAACGAUAGAACAUAUGAGAGAUAUUUUAGAAAGAAAAAAAAAAGUUGGAAUAAAUCUGAUAUUUUCAAACGUAUGGGGGGUAUAUAGGCA